rnacentral:rRNA from 1 species
CAACGCGAAGAACCUUACCUGGCCUUGACAUGUCCGGAAUUCUGCAGAGAUGCGGAAGUGCCUUCGGGAAUCGGAACACAGGUGCUGCAUGGCUGUCGUCAGCUCGUGUCGGGAGAUGUUGGGUUAAGUCCCGUAACGAGCGCAACCCUUGUCCUUAGUUACCAGCACGUUAUGGUGGGCACUCUAAGGAGACUGCCGGUGACAAACCGGAGGAAGGUGGGGAUGACGUCAAGUCAUCAUGGCCCUUACGGCCAGGGCUACACACGUGCUACAAUGGUCGGUACAGAGGGUUGCCAAGCCGCGAGGUGGAGCUAAUCCCAGAAGACCGAUCGUAGUCCGGAUCGCAGUCUGCAACUCGACUGCGUGAAGUCGGAAUCGCUAGUAAUCGUGAAUCAGAAUGUCACGGUGAAUACGUUCCCGGGCCUUGUACACACCGCCCGU